UAUGAGGAUGAUGAAGAAUGUACUUAUCAAUGCCCCUCAUAUAAAACAUUUCUUGUCGAAACAGUUCACCUCCGACAAACCAUAUACUACUCAAGAAAUUGACGAAGUUAGAGAAGAAUGGGCAAUGUCAUUUUUACAAUUGGUUAGAGCAAAAUGAAUGAUGUUAUAGCUAGCUAAUUACAAUACAUGUUUAGAAAUUUUAAAUUUAUUUCGUAAAAUUUUUUUGCCAUUUUUUUAGUAUUUUCUUUUCAAAUUUCUUUUGAUACAUAUUCGACACUCAAAUGGAUAUAUAUUUUUAAAUCAAAAUUAAAAUUGUAGCU